GUGGUUUCACGUGCUGUUUCUUUGUGCCUUACCCGAAUGCAUUACGAAUGUUUUCCAAUAAUGAUGUGACUUCAUUCUUUGCAGUAAACGUAAAGUGAUCACUCACUGCAGUUUUCAAACAGAACCGAGAAUUAUUAUUAAUUGGGUUUUUUUUGUCAGUAAGUUUCAACCGAUAAUUGUUUCAUAAUGUUUCAAACAUUAUUUUGAC